rnacentral:rRNA from 1 species
CACCGCGGUUAUACGAGAGACCCAAGUUGAUAUUUGACGGCGUAAAGAGUGGUUAGGGGUAUACAAAAACUAGGACUGAACACCCUUGAUGCUGUUAUACGCAAUUGAGGGUAGGAAGCUCAACUACGAAAGUGGUCCUACAACACCUGAAUCCACGAAAGCUAUGGUA